rnacentral:rRNA from 1 species
CAGUAGCCACGGGAAUACAGAGGCCUCAAGCGUUGUUCGGAUUCAUUGGGCGUAAAGGGAGCGUAGGCGGUCGGGUAAGUGGGAUGUGAAAUCCUGGGGCUCAACCUCAGAACUGCAUUCCAUACUGCUUGGCUAGAGUACUGGAGAGGUGAGUGGAAUUCACGGUGUAGCAGUGAAAUGCGUAGAUAUCGUGAGGAAGACCAGCGGCGAAGGCGGCUCACUGGACAGUUACUGACGCUGAUGCUCGAAGGCCAGGGGAGCAAACGGGAUUAGAUACCCCGGUAGUCCCUGUCUCUUAUAC